GUAGGUGAACCUGCGGAAGGAUCAUUAUCGUGGGGCUCCGGCCCUGUCGAGAUAGAACCCUUGCCUUUUGAGUACCGUCCGUUUCCUCGGCAGGCCCGCCUGCCAAUGGGGACCCCAAACAAACUCUUUAUGUACCUGUAACAGUCUGAGAAAAAAACAAAAAGUUAAAACUUUCAACAACGGAUCUCUUGGUUCUG
rnacentral:misc_RNA from 1 species